AAAAUCCCACCAAAAGUCUGCAGAGUGACCAAAUUAGACGGCUCUGGUUUCAGAUUAAAUUCUAAAUGUGAGAAACCACAUAGCUCCCAUGAUCCAUCCAAUAAUUCCUCACGUCCUCUUCACUCUUUACUCCAUGCAUAAAACAGAAUUUUUUUUUCUCAUCCUGGGUAUGAAGCAAUUAAUAAUUUACGGAUUUAGCCUAUUUGGAUUCAAUCCCUUCAAACUCCAUACUACAUCCAAGGUGGAAGUGACUUAAACUCUGAUAUCAAUCAUCAGGCUUGUAAUAUAGGCUUUGUUAAUGGCAGGAGAGUCUAAUAAAACUUUCUGUUCCUUAUCCUUCAUUUAAAUGAAAAACUUUUUAUUGAAAACAAUCAUAACUCUAGCUCAUCAUAAAUAUAAUUCAUGAGGACAUUUUAUUAUUUUUAUAUUAAAGAAAUAAUAUUAUAGAUGUAAACUUUGCACCUUUCUAAUUAUUAUCAUGAGUUAAGCUAAUACUUGUCUUCUGGUCCCUAGAUGAUGAUUCUUUUUUGCCUUACUGGAGGAGCCCUUGUCUUGAAGUGAGUUGCUUCAACAGCAGAGGACUUCUAGUUUCUCCCAGUUGAGCCUAAAGUGAACUUUUCAUCUUCUUCAGAGGAAGGGGCUUCCUUGAUUUGUACUUUUGUGGCUCCUCAGAUAACACAGACAAUUUUAUCUUGGAUCCCAGGUUCUCUUCACCAUUAAGAAUAAGAAAGAGAGAAAAUGCUGUGCAUGACAGCCACCUACUCCAAACUACCCAACCCCCUGUAACCAGGUACCUUCCAACAACGAGAUGAUUCUGCCCUCACUCAAGAGUCUCCCCCACAAAGAUUCCAUUCUCCCUUUACUUUUUAUUUUUUAUUUUUUUGCAAAACAAAGGCCUCCUUUAGUACCUCCUUAGUUUAUAACCCUUAUCUUCCCAGCUCUUCCCUUCACUGAUACCUCUGAUUUCAAAAGUUCUGAAGUCGGAAGACCACACAAUUUCAGACUGUGAACAGAAAUUCAGUCAGAAAUUAUUGGAGUUAGAAAGAAUUUAGAGAAAUUGUAUUGAACUAGAAAGUCCUCUUUGAUUAGUGGUGGCCCUUUAGAAAGUUCUAGGGCAGAGUCCCAUGGUGUUUCAUCUUUUCCAUGAUUUGCUUGACCAAAAACUUUUCUUUCACAACAUGAAAAUAUGCUAAUCCACCACACAUUUUGGAUUCUGCUCUGUUUGCCUGAGGUGUUAGAUCUCUAGCCAGGACUGUGAAGGGAAGGAACUUGAAUCCUUCCUAUUGAGCUAUUAAUGCAGAGUCAGUGAGAUGAAGGGUUCCACUCGGGGUCAAAAUCAUGUCAGUUACCAAGCAAAGGAGCAAGUAAGGGGAAACAUCUCCUCAUCUGGUUAGUGGAGCCACAUUUCACCCACUGAUCAAGCCAGACCUGAGCAAUAGUCUAGAUUUCUCCCUCCACAUCUAAUUGGUGACAAUGGUGAUUGUACCACUGACAGGUCACACAAGUCCACACCCUCCUUCACAGCCUCACUGCUUCGGCUCUUGUUUAUGCUCUUAUCAGCAUCUGUCACUAGGAUCCAUUUGUCUCCUGACUCAUCUACUUCCUUUCACUCCCCUGGGCCAUCCUUCACAUCAUGCUAGAAGACUGUGUCUAACUUGCAGAACUUAUUGUGUCAAUCUCCUGGUUACGGCCCCUCCAUGGCUCCCCACCUGACAUAGGAGGCCCUUCACAAUCUGGCUUCUGUCACUCAUAACUUGUCUCCAGCCUUCAUUCUUCAGUCUGAUUUUAUGGUUUUCUAGUUCCCCAAUACACCACACCAGUGUUUAUGAAACCCUAGUCAUUGGCCUACGAACUUUAUGAUUAUUGACAUAUUCAUGUACCACCUGUAUUAUUUUUUGCAUAGUGUUUAUUUUUAAUUGACUACAUUUUUAACUACAAUAAAGUAAUUUCAACUAAAACUUGGUAUCAAUGCUGCGAAUGGAAAACUGCUAUCAGUUGCCAUAAUAAAAAUGAAACUGUAAAAAUAAAUAUAAUAAAAAUGAAACAAAGUUAUUAAGUUCUAACCA
rnacentral:lncRNA from 10 species